GAAACCAUGUAGCACAUGUGUUGUCACCGGGAGCAAAGGCAAAGCUAAUUGUCUCCCUGGUGAAUUUGUGCGUGCGUGUGUGUUUUCUGCCCUCCGUUCUUGAGAGAAACAACCAGGGAGAGAAGAAAGAAAGAGAGAGAAACCUCAGGAGAGUUGUGCGAGGCAGCUCGAGGAGGAAGAAGAGCGGUGCUGCGAGGAGGCGGCGCCAACAAUUGGUAUCAGAUCCUCGUCGAUCCGAUGCGGCGACGGCGGCGCGGCCGACUCCAUGUGAGGUAGAGGACGGCGGCGCGAGGUGGCAGCUGACGGUGGCGCGAUGUCGCCGGCUGACGGUUGCGGUGCGAUGCCGCGAGACGAAGAUGGUGUGGUCCACGUCAAGAAGUGGCCGUUGUGAGCGGCAAGUCGGCAUGGUGAUCGGCGCCACGAUGGUGUCGUCGCCGACAAUAUGGUGUAUGGUGCUCGACGCUGAUGUUGCGUGUUGACCGGCGCUGCGAUGGCGUCGUCCACGACAAGAAGGUGUUCGGCGGUGUGAUGCCGUGCGCACAUGUGGUUGCGGUGUGAUGCUGCUAGGAGGAGACGGUGGUGCGAGGCUGCCAUGACGACGAUGCGAGGCCGUUACAAGGAGAUGCGGUGCGAUACCGCAAGAUGAUGAUGGUGUAGUGAUCGGCGUCGCGAGGACAUCAUCCACGACGAGAUGGUCCAUGGCAAUUGGCGUCGUGACGGCUUCGACAAUGGCAAGUGGCUGCAGCGCUACGAUGGCGUCGUCAAGUGGCAGCAGGUGAUCCACAUCGAAGAUUGAAGAAUCAAGGUUAGAGAGUAGCUAGUCCGGUGAAGCUUCAGCGGAGGCACGCGGAGAAGAUGAUAUGUCAGACUGCCGUGCGACGCGGCGAGCACGACGAGAUGUCGAUGUUGCUGUGAGAUACGGCCACACCGUGAGAUGCGGCAUGACGCGAUGGUCGCUGGAGCGUGAUGGGUUGCAAGAUCAAGUUGAGCCUGGCCAUUGCGGUGGCUGCUGAAUAUGGCCGAGUCUUGUGGCAGUUGGAGUGAUUCUAGCAAGGAGUAAGAUAAGGCCAGUUAGUAUGUGCAUGUAGAUAUGGGUUAGUUAGUUAGUGGCUUACUGCAUGCAAGGAGGUGGUGCGGUUAGUGGCGAGUAUGCCGGCCGGGCUAUGUGUGCGUGCGUGUGCAUGGGAUUUGCAUCAGGCCAUUAGCCCCUGGCUAUGUGUAUAUAUAUCUUGCAUCGGAGUAAUGAAAGGAGGGUAUGAGGGCUGAAGGAAACCAUGUAGCACAUGUGUUGUCACCGGGAGCAAAGGCAAAGCUAAUUGUCUCCCUGGUGAAUGUGUGCGUGCGUCUGUGUUUUCUGUCCUAUGUUCUUGAGAGAAACAACCAGCGAGAGAAGAAAGAAAGAGAGAGAAACCUCAGGAGAGUUGUGCGAGGCAGCUCGAGGAGGAAGAAGAGCGGCGCUGCGAGGAGGCGGCGCCAAUAAUUAGUAUCAGAGCCUCGUCGAUCCGAUGCGGCGACGACGACGAUGCGACCGACUCCAUGUGAGGUGGAGGACGGCGGCGCGAGGUGGAGACUGCCGGUGGCGCGAUGUCGCCGGCGGACGGUUGCGGUGCGAUGCCGUGAGACAAAGAUGGCGUGAUCCACGUCAAGAAGUGGCCGCUGUGAGCAGCAAGUCGGCAUGGUGAUCGGCACCGCGAUGGUGUCGUCGCCGACAAUAUGGUGUGUGGUGCUCGAUGCUGAUGUUGCGUGUUGACUGGCGCUGCGAUGGCGUCGUCCACGACAAGGAGGUGUUCGGCGGUGUGAUGCCGCGCGAACAUGUGGUUGCGGUGUGAUGCCGCUAGGAGGAGACGGUGGUGCGAGGCUGCCAUGACGACGGUGCGAGGCCGGUACAAGGAGAUGCGGUGCGAUGCCGCAGGAUGAUGAUGGUGUGGUGAUCGGCGUCGCGAGGACAUCAUCCACGACAAGAUGGUCCAUGGCAAUUGGCGCCAUGACAGCUUCAACAAUGGCAAGUGGCUGCGGCGCUACGAUGGCGUCGUCAAGUGGCAGCAGGUGAUCCACAUCGAAGAUUGAAGAAUCAAGAUUAAGGGGGAACAUGUUAGCUUUAAUCUUGAUUCAUGUAUCUGCAUAUUUAGUUUGCUUUCGUUGUGCAUGUAGGAUAGGUUAGAGAGUAGCUAGUCCGGUGAAGCUUCAGCGGAGGCACGCGGAGAAGAUGAGAUGUCAGGCUGUCGUGCGACGCGGCAAGCACGACGAGAUGUCGAUGUUGCUGUGAGAUACGGCCACACCGUGAGAUGCGGCACGACGCGAUGGUCGCUGGAGCGUGAUGGGUUGCAAGAUCAAGUUGAGGCUGGCCGUUGCCGUGGCUGCUGAAUAUGGCCGAGUCUUAUGGCAGUUGGAGUGAUUCUAGCAAGGAGUAAGAUAAGGCCAGUUAGUAUGUGCAUGUAGAUAUGGGUUAGUUAGUUAGUGGCUUACUGCAUGCAAGGAGGUGGUGCGGUUAGUGGCGAGUAUGCCGGCCGGGCUAUGUGUGCGUGCGUGUGCAUGGGAUUUGCAUCAAGCCAUUAGCCCCUGGCUAUGUGUAUAUAUAUCUUGCAUUGGAGUAAUGAAAGAAGGUUGUGAGGGCUGAAGGAAA